UUAGAUUUUUUUUUUUUUUUAAUUCUUGCAGGAGAUGAAAAUAGGGAUAACUUAGGGACUGUUCAAAGCAGUACACCUAAGGCUGAUAAACUUCAAGAGAAGGCUCUAAAAUGGUCUAAAAGAUGAGGGCCACAGAAUUCUAAGCACGACGAACAGAAGCAUGCAUCUGGUAUAGUCUCAUGGAGAAGAGGUCUGUUGUCAUGAUUCUUAUGAGAAUGAUGACCAAUCAGAGAAACAGGAGGACACUAUAGAGAAAGGAGGGGGGACCUCGCCAAGGAGGAUGGGGUUCUGAAGAUCAUAUCAACACCUCUGCCCAGUGGAAUUCGUCUUUUAGAGAGAAGCCCCCUGAAUGUUCUAAAUGCUGGGAAAGCUUCUCGUCUCCAUACACACCAGGGGACACACUCAGGAGAAAAAUCAUAUAAAUGUUCUAGACGUGGGAAAGGCUGUUCUAACAGUUCCCACCUGGUUCAGCAUUUGAAAACACGCGCAGGGGAGAAGUCCGUCUUGUGUGGCGAGUGAGGGAAAAGCUUCAGCAAUAUUUCCCCCUUAUGGUUCACAAGAGAACUUACACAGGAGAGAGGCCUUAUAAGUGUCCUGACUGGAAAGGGUUUA
rnacentral:lncRNA from 1 species